rnacentral:rRNA from 1 species
UACGUAGGGGGCUAGCGUUGUCCGGAAUCAUUGGGCGUAAAGAGCGUGUAGGCGGCCCGGUAAGUCCGCUGUAAAAGUCAAAGGCUCAACCUUUGAAUGUCAGUGGAUACUGCCGGGCUAGAGUCCGGAAGAGGCGAGUGGAACUCCUGGUGUAGCGGUGGAAUGCGCAGAUAUCAGGAAGAACACCAACGGCGAAGGCAGCUCGCUGGGACGGUACUGACGCUGGAGACGCGAAAGCGUGGGGAGCGAACAGG